rnacentral:rRNA from 1 species
CACGUAGGGGGCAAGCGUGUCCGGAUUUAUUGGGCGUAAAGAGCUCGUAGGCGGUUCCGUAAGUCGUGAAGUCAAAUCUCUGGGCUCCAACCCAGAAUCGCUUCCGAUACUGCGGUGACUGGAGUCCGGUAGGGGAGUGUGGGAAUUCCUGGUGUAGCGGUGAAAUGCGCGAUAUCAGGAGGAACACCAACAGCGAAGGCAGCACU